GAAGAACCUUACCACCCCUUGACAUCCUCGGAACUGCCUGGAGACAGGCAGGUGCCUUCGGGAGCCGAGUGACAGGUGCUGCAUGGCUGUUGUCAGCUCGUGUCGUGAGAUGUUGGGUUAAGUCCCGUAACGAGCGCAACCCUUGUCCUUAUUUGCCAGCGGGUCAGGCCGGGAACUCUAGGGAGACUGCCGGUGACAAACCGGAGGAAGGUGGGGAUGACGUCAAGUCAUCAUGGCCCUCACGGGGUGGGCUACAAACGUGCUACAAUGGGCGGCACAGAGGGAUGGGAACCAGCAAUGGCAAGCGAAUCCCAAAAAACCGCUCGUAGUCCGGAUAGGAGUCUGCAACUCGACUCCUUGAAGUCGGAAUCGCUAGUAAUCGCGAAUCAGA
rnacentral:rRNA from 1 species